AUAACGGUCACGGCUGCUACUCCCGAGCCCCGGGAUUCCUCGCGGUGUCAUCGCUGGGAAAGCUCCUCCAUUGGGAUUCUAAAAUUCCAGUUCCUGCCCCCCUCCCCUCCCCUCCUCUCCCACGCCCUGCUUCCUCCCCCUCCCCUUUCAUUCUGUCCCCCGCAGCGCUUAGAACAGUGCUUCGCACAUAAUAAGCGCUUAACGAAUAGCAUCGUCAUCGUCAUCCCCCACCCCGGUUCCCCCGGGGCCGUUGUCUCUCCCCCCCUUUCUCUCCCCCCCGGCCUCUCUGUGUGUCCCCCUCUUUCUCCCCGGCCUCUGUUUCCCCCCGGCCUCUCUGUCCUCCUCUUUCCCCGGCCUCUAUUUCCCUCCCACCUCUGUCCCCCCCCCCGGGCCUGUCUGUCCCCCUCUUUCCCCAGCCUCAGUUUCCCCCCGGCCUCUAUUUCCCUCCCACCUCUGUCCCCCCCCCAGCCUGUCUGUCCCCCUCUUUCCCCAGCCUCAGUUUCCCCCCGGCCUCUAUUUCCCUCCCACCUCUGUCCUCCCCUCCAGCCUGUCUGUCCCCCUCUUUCCCCAGCCUCAGUUUCCCCCGGCCUCUAUUUCCCUCCCACCUCUGUCCUCCCCUCCAGCCUGUCUGUCCCCCUCUUUCCCCAGCCUCAGUUUCCCCCCGGCCUCUAUUUCCCUCCCACCUCUGUCCUCCCCUCCAGCCUGUCUGUCCCCCUCUUUCCCCAGCCUCAGUUUCCCCCCGGCCUCUAUUUCCCUCCCACCUCUGUCCUCCCCUCCAGCCUGUCUGUCCCCCUCUUUCCCCAGCCUCAGUUUCCCCCCGGCCUCUAUUUCCCUCCCCACCUCUGUCCUCCCCUCCAGCCUGUCCCCCUCUUUCCCCAGCCUCAGUUUGCCCCCCGACCUCUAUUUCCCGCCCACCUCUGUCCUCCCCCCAGCCUGUCUGUCCCCCUCUUUCCCCAGCCUCAGUUUCCCCCCCGGCCUCUCUGUCUGUCCCCCUCUUUCCCCAGCCUCAGUUCCCCCCCAGCCUUUCUGUCUGUCCCCCUGCUUCCCCGGCCGCUGUCCCCCCCAGGUCUCUGUCCCCCCAAGCCUGUCUGUCCCCCUCUUUCCCCAGCCUCAGUUUCCCCCAGCUGCUCUAGGAGAAGCAGCGUGGCUCAGUGGAAAGAGCCCGGGCUUUGGAGUCAGGGCUCAUGA
rnacentral:lncRNA from 1 species